CCCUUAGAUGUUCUGGGCCGCACGCGUGCUACACUGAGUGGAUCAGCGGGUCAGGUUGCGCGAAAGCGUUUCCUAAUCUUGGAAUCCGCUCGUGAUGGGGAUUGACGGUUGCAAUUUUCUGUCAUGAACGAGGAAUACCUUGUAAGCGCGGGUCAUCAUCCCGCGCUGAAUACGUCCCUGCCCUUUGUACACACCGCCCGUCGCUCCUACCGAUUGAGUGGUCCGGUGAGGCUUUGGGAUCUGAGCGGAAAGAGCGUUUCGCUCGUUCUGCCCGGAAAACUCAGUCGAACCUUAUCAUUUAGAGGAAGGAGAAGUCGUAACA
rnacentral:rRNA from 1 species